rnacentral:rRNA from 1 species
GUGUCAGCAGCCGCGGUAAUACGGAGGGUGCGAGCGUUAAUCGGAAUUACUGGGCGUAAAGCGCAUGCAGGUGGUUUGUUAAGUCAGAUGUGAAAGCCCGGGGCUCAACCUCGGAAUUGCAUUUGAAACUGGCAGGCUAGAGUACUGUAGAGGGGGGUAGAAUUUCAGGUGUAGCGGUGAAAUGCGUAGAGAUCUGAAGGAAUACCGGUGGCGAAGGCGGCCCCCUGGACAAAGACUGACACUCAGAUGCGAAAGCGUGGGGAGCAAACAGGAUUAGAUAC